UAGAGGCCUACCAUGGUGGUAACGGGUAACGGGGUGUUAGGGCACGACACCGGAGAGGGAGCCUGAGAAACGGCUACCACAUCCAAGGAUGGCAGCAGGCGCGCAAAUUACCCAAUCCCGACACGGGGAGGUAGUGACAAUAAAUAACAAUACGGGGUUCUUUCGGAUCUCGUAAUUGGAAUGAGUACAAUUUAAAUCUCUUAACGAGGAACAAUUGGAGGGCAAGUCUGGUGCCAGCAGCCGCGGUAAUUCCAGCUCCAAUAGCGUAUAUUAAAGUUGUUGCAGUUAAAAAGCUCGUAGUUGAAUUUCGGGGUUAGUAGGUUGGUCAUGCCUCUGGUAUGUACUGGUCUCACUGAUUCCUCCUUCCUUAUGAACCGUAAUGCCAUUAAUUUGGUGUUGCGGGGAAUUUGGACUGUUACUUUGAAAAAAUUAGAGUGUUUAAAGCAAGCUAACGCUUGAAUACAUUAGCAUGGAAUAAUGAAAUAGGACGUUCGAUCUUAUUUUGUUGGUUUCUAGGAUUGACGUAAUGGUUAAUAGGGAUAGUUGGGGGCAUUAGUAUUCAAUUGUCAGAGGUGAAAUUCUUGGAUUUAUUGAAGACUAACUACUGCGAAAGCAUUUGCCAAGGAUGUUUUCAUUAAUCAAGAACGAAAGUUAGGGGAUCGAAGACGAUCAGAUACCGUCGUAGUCUUAACCAUAAACUAUGCCGACUAGGGAUCGGAUGA
rnacentral:rRNA from 1 species